GACGUAGGGGGCGAGCGUUGUCCGGAUUUAUUGGGCGUAAAGCGCGCGUAGGCGGCUGCGCAAGUCGGUUGUGAAACCCCGGGGCUCAACCCCGGAACUGCAUCCGAUACUGCGUGGCUAGAGGUAGGUAGGGGAGAUCGGAAUUCCUGGUGUAGCGGUGAAAUGCGCAGAUAUCAGGAGGAACACCGGUGGCGAAGGCGGCGCUCUGGGCCGGUACUGACACUGAGGAGCGAAAGCGUGGGUAGCAAACGGG
rnacentral:rRNA from 1 species